rnacentral:rRNA from 1 species
ACGGCUCAGUAACACGUGGAUAACCUGCCCUUGGGACCGGCAUAACCCCGGGAAACUGGGGAUAAUUCCGGAUAACGCAUAUUUGCUGGAAUGCUUUAUGCGUCAAAAGGAUUCGUCUGCCCAAGGAUGGGUCUGCGGCCUAUCAGGUAGUAGUGGGUGUAAUGUACCUACUAGCCAGCGACGGGUACGGGUUGUGAGAGCAAGAGCCCGGAGAUGGAUUCUGAGACAUGAAUCCAGGCCCUACGGGGCGCAGCAGGCGCGAAAACUUUACAAUGCGGGAAACCGUGAUAAGGGGACACCGAGUGCCAGCAUCAUAUGCUGGCUGUCCGGAUGUGUAAAAUACAUCCGUUAGCAAGGGCCGGGCAAGACCGGUGCCAGCCGCCGCGGUAACACCGGCGGCCCGAGUGGUGAUCGUGAUUAUUGGGUCUAAAGGGUCCGUAGCCGGUUUGGUCAGUCCUCCGGGAAAUCUGAUAGCUUAACUAUUAGGCUUUCGGGGGAUACUGCCAGACUUGGAACCGGGAGAGGUAAGAGGUACUACAGGGGUAGGAGUGAAAUCUUGUAAUCCCUGUGGGACCACCUGUGGCGAAGGCGUCUUACCAGAACGGGUUCGACGGUGAGGGACGAAAGCUGGGGGCACGAACCGGAUUAGAUACCCGGGUAGUCCCAGCCGUAAACGAUGCUCGCUAGGUGUCAGGCAUGGCGCGACCGUGUCUGGUGCCGCAGGGAAGCCGUGAAGCGAGCCACCUGGGAAGUACGGCCGCAAGGCUGAAACUUAAAGGAAUUGGCGGGGGAGCAC